rnacentral:lncRNA from 12 species
CCCGUGAACUUGCAAUUGCCUUUUUUUUUUUUUUUUUGCUUGAAAAGGCUGUUUUCCUUCUUUUUGCUUUUCUGUUCAAAUAAUACAACCCCUCGGGCUAAGGAGAGGUGGGAGGUGGAUAAGGGGAAGCUGUUUGGGGAAUGAACGGAAAAGACUCAAGGAGGGGGUUAGCAGCUGUCUUCCAGUGAUUUUUUUUUUUUUUUUGUAAGGACAUCAAUAAUUUAGGUUGCAAUUGGCGGAGGGGAGACAGUUAAAUUCUAAGCGUGAUUCCACAAGCCCUGCUGCCUCACGCCUGUUCUACACGCCCCCUCCCCCGACCCCCCAAGUAAAAGAGGGAGAGCCCUCUUGUUAGCAUCUUUGCUCCUUCAGAGAAGCCCGUCUGAAAGGAAGUGGACUGGAGGCUAAACAACCUCCUUCUAGAAACUAGGGUCCUACCCAUUGCUGGGAGGUCGCCGUGAGCGGUGCUAAGGGGCUCGGAGAAAAGAGCGAGAAAAUAAUUUUCCCCUCCAAGGAGCAGUGGGGGUGGGGGGUACGUCCUUGGCUGGGUGUGCCUCCCCGUGCUGGGUCCCCGUGGAGCACUUUGCUGGAAAUGACCGGUGGCUGAUGAGCUGUCGGUUCUCCCCUCCCUCCUCCCAGAAUCAGGGAAACCUCCUCCUCCUUCUCUUUCUCCCCCUGGCAGCUGGCACAGCAGCCCGGCUUGGCGCCUGCCUUUGUGGGGAGCCCUCAGCUCAGAACACGGCUGCUCCUGGCGUCCCCCCUUCCCUCUCGUCUUCUUCUUUCCAUUGGAUGGGCAAUGGGUGCGUGGGCUUCAGCUGGCUCGGCUCCCCAGGCGCUGGCAAGGUGGGACCCUCAGGACAGCUGGAGGACCCGCUGCGCUGCCCACUAGCCGCACCGCCCGAGCCCCGGAGCCCAUGCGAUACAGCCGCGCGCUGUGCUGGAGGCCGAAGACCCUGCGAGUUCUGAGCGAGGCCCAUGGAUGUGGAAGGCCUCCCGGGUCCCGGACCCCAUGUUCUCUCCGCGCAGCUAUGACGCCCUGCACGACUGCGGCUCGGGGCGCCCCGCCAGCGCCCCGCAGGACGCGCGGGCCCCCCGGAUGAGCGGCGGCUGCCAGGCCCCCCCGCUGAAGCGGCGCGGCGGCGUGGUGGACCACCGGGAUGUCAUCUUGGCCCACCAGGCGCACAAAGUCCACAGCACCCCCCAGGCCAGGAGGAAGGAAUGGGAGUGAGUACGCGGGGCGGACGGGCCGGGACGCCCCAGGGACUGGAGCGCACCCCUGGAGCGGGGCGGGCUGCCGACACCUCCCUCCCUUGCCUGCGGAUCGGUCCCUGCCCUGAGCCCGCGUGGGCCCCCGCGCAGCCCGGGGUGCGGCAGCAAAGGGUUUGGUCCGCGGAGGACCCUGCCUGCGCCCGGGUCUGUGGCUGUCCCCUCGGAUGGGAGGCAUUUCUGAAUCGGGCUGAGAAAUGCUGUUUUCGGGGGCAGGAGGGCUGGCCAUAAAGUUUGUACUGCAAGUG